rnacentral:rRNA from 1 species
AGUACGGUCGCAAGAUUAAAACUCAAAGGAAUUGACGGGGACCCGCACAAGCGGUGGAUGAUGUGGAUUAAUUCGAUGCAACGCGAAAAACCUUACCUACCCUUGACAUGUCUGGAAUCCCGAAGAGAUUUGGGAGUGCUCGCAAGAGAACCGGAACACAGGUGCUGCAUGGCUGUCGUCAGCUCGUGUCGUGAGAUGUUGGGUUAAGUCCCGCAACGAGCGCAACCCUUGUCAUUAGUUGCUACGAAAGGGCACUCUAAUGAGACUGCCGGUGACAAACCGGAGGAAGGUGGGGAUGACGUCAAGUCCUCAUGGCCCUUAUGGGUAGGGCUUCACACGUCAUACAAUGGUCGGGACAGAGGGUCGCCAACCCGCGAGGGGGAGCCAAUCCCAGAAACCCGAUCGUAGUCCGGAUCGCAGUCUGCAACUCGACUGCGUGAAGUCGGAAUCCCUAGUAAUCGCGGAUCAGCAUGUCGCGGUGAAUACGUUCCCGGGUCUUGUACACACCGCCCGUCACACCAUGGGAGUGGGUUUUACCAGAAG